AUACGGAGGACGCGAGCGUUAUCCGGAUUCAUUGGGUUUAAAGGGUGCGCAGGCGGCCGUGCAAGUCAGCGGUGAAAGCCCGGGGCUCAACCCCGGAAGUGCCGUUGAUACUGCAUGGCUGGAAUGCGGUCGAGGCGGGCGGGACGUGGCGUGUAGGGGGGAAAUGCGUAGAAAAGCCACAGAACGCCGAUAGCGGGGGCAGCUCGCCAGGCCUGCAUUGACGCUCGGGCACGAAAGCGUGGGGAUCGAACAGGAUUAGAUACCCUGGUAGUCCACGCCGUAAACGAUGGGCGCUCGUCGUCGGCGGCAGACAGUCGGCGGCCAAGCGAAAGCGAUAAGCGCCCCACCUGGGGAGUACGGUCGCAAGGCUGAAACUCAAAUGAAUUGACGGGG
rnacentral:rRNA from 1 species